GGCGGGAAGCUGGGAGCGUUUGGUCCUCUGUGGCGUCCGGAUCGCGAGCGGAGUCGGCCUGUCCCACCGAGGGCUCCCGGGAGAGGGCAGGGUUCUAGGGAGUUUGUUUUUGUUGGAGGGUGGGGUGGAAGGGAGGAGGAGAAUGGACAAAAUACUGACUGGAAAGUUAAUUGGAGCCUUGCAGAUGCGAAUAGCAGAAUAGUUCCAUAUUCUUCAUUCAUUCGCUCCAUUGAGCUAACGUCAUUUUUGAAUUUUCAACUUUGAAAUCGGCCAGGGUAUUUGGCAGAAUUUGGCCAAAUUCGGGGAUGAGAGUUUGAUCCAAACUAAGUGCAUUUUAAUUAGGGCACGCCGUUCAACCACUGUUUGCAAUGGAAUUUCUGAAGACGUGUAUACUUCGGAGACAUGCCUGUACUGCGGUUUGCUUCUGGAGAAGCCAAGUUGUACAAAAGUCUUCAGCUAGAAAGAUUAGUACUACCUCUUCAAGGAGCACUGUCAUGCCGGCUUGGGUGAUAGAUAAAUAUGGGAAUAAUGAAGUGCUUCGGUUUACUCAGAACAUGAUGAUACCCAUCAUACACUAUCCAAAUGAAGUCAUCAUCAAAGUUCAUGCUGCGAGUGUGAAUCCUAUAGAUGUUAAUAUGAGAAGUGGUUAUGGAGCUACAGCUUUAAAUAUGAAACGUGAUCCUUUACAUAUUAGAACCAAAGGAGAAGAGUUUCCCCUGACUCUGGGUCGGGAUGUCUCUGGUGUGGUGAUGGAAUGUGGACUUGAUGUGAGGUACUUCAAGCCUGGAGAUGAGGUCUGGGCUGCGGUUCCUCCCUGGAAACAAGGCACGCUCUCGGAGUUUGUUGUAGUCAGUGGGAAUGAGGUCUCUCACAAGCCCAGAUCUCUCACUCAUACUCAAGCUGCCUCUUUGCCAUAUGUGGCUCUCACAGCCUGGUCUGCCAUAAACAAGGUUGGCGGCCUGAAUGAUGAGAAUUGCACAGGAAAACGUGUUUUAAUCUUGGGCGCUUCAGGUGGAGUUGGUACUUUUGCUAUACAGAUAAUGAAAGCUUGGGAUGCCCACGUGACAGCCGUUUGCUCUCGGGAUGCCAGUGAACUUGUGAGGAAGCUUGGGGCGGAUGAUGUACUUGAUUACAAAUCUGGAAAUAUGGAAGAGCAGUUGAAAUCUUUAAAACCGUUUGAUUUUAUCCUUGAUAAUGUUGGCGGAUCCACCGAAACGUGGGCUCUGAAUUGUCUCAAGAAAUGGUCAGGAGCCACAUACGUGACUUUGGUGACUCCUUUCCUCCUGAACAUGGACCGAUUGGGCAUAGCAGACGGCAUGUUGCAGACAGGCGUCACCGUGGGCUCUAAGACAUUAAAGCAUUUCUGGCAAGGAGUCCAUUAUCGCUGGGCCUUUUUUAUGGCCAGUGGUCCAUAUCUAGAUGACAUCGCACAACUGGUGGAUGCAGGAAAGAUGAGGAGACAGGCCCAGAGAGGUGAUAAGAUUUUCCCAAAGACACUUGGUUAGAUGGCAGCAGAGCUGAGACCUACAGCCGGGCUGCUCAUACUUUGGUAAUGGUCCUGAAAAGAAGGCACCACAAAGGCAGUCUCUGCGCAGAGGUUGGGCUGUACUUGUGAGUCUACAGUAGAACUGCUUCUGGAGCUUCUGUGGUCCAAGGGUAAGGCUGCUCUGGAGGUAAGCAGGUUUCCAGAUGAACAAACCCUGUGGAAUCUAAACCCCAACAGAACCGGACUAGAAGUCAGGUCCCCAGGUCUCCUGUUCCCAGACUAGUGUAAUAACAUCAACAGCGAAUAAAUGCUGUGUCAGAGCGGUCAGUGGGCAGGAUGUGGGUGAGGAUUGGUGGAGAUUUUGGUGGAGACAGGUGGCUGGUAUUUCUGACUACUCGUGUCUGUCUCGUGGUGAACUUGGUUCUCUUGUGCUUUGCACAAGAGGAAGAGACUGCUGCUUACAGUCUGGUCAUCUCUUUUGGGUGUCAAAAGGCCUUUCAGGGCUGCUGGGGUCAAAAGCCUCCUCAGCAACCUCCUGUUUAUUUGGGUUCUUACAUGAAUGGUCUCAACCGCCCUGACAUUCCAUCUCUGGAAGAACAACCCAAGAGGAAACUCACAUUCUGGUGCUGACAUUUAGGAUUCUAUCGAGAGAUUAUGUGCAAUAUAGGAUGGAGAACCUUACACACUCUAGAGUGUUGCAUGAGGUCAUAGAUAAAAUGAUUCUCGUUUUAUAGAUGAGAAAACUGGCUCAAAGAGGUCAAGGGCCGUGCUCCAGUUGCAGAAGUGGGAGCAGAACUCACGCCUCCUGACUUCUCUGCUUUUCCCUCGGCACCACUCAGCUGCAUUCUUAGUGCUUGAAGCUGACCUGGGACUUCAGCUUAAGUUGUCUUGUCCUUGUCAUUUCACAGUGGGCUGGGAAAGGGGUUCGAGCAGGGCAGCGUUACACCACAUGAUCUGUGCUAAGCCGCUCGCAAAGAGCCCCCUGAGAUGGACUUUCUUCUGCUGGCGGCUGCCCCUUGCUGGCCUAUUUCAUCUUUCCAUUUCUGUUUUGAAAAGGAAUGUUUUUAGGAACUACUGGCUGCUUUGGGUGCAUUUAGUUUUUAAAAUCUGUUACAGCCGAGGAACUUAUGAUAGGAAAUGGUCUGCUUCUCUUUCCCAAAUGUUUUGGUUCCAAGUUUGCAUGCCUUUUCUUGGACUUCUAAGUCUUGGAGUACACUGGGUAGACAGUGGCUCAGCCUUAUUGUGACGUAUGUGCUUCUUUAUAGGGUUCUUCCCACAUCCCACAGGGAUGCUUAUUUUUUUCUAGGAGGAAAGAAAUGAACUACCAUCAAACAGUUUGGCCCAUAGCUCUACAUAGUGCUUCCUGGGGUUGGAGCCCCAUCAUCAGAGGCCCCUGCCCUCCAGAAGUCCACUGCAUGGUAGCGCUUGGCCUGAUACCCGCCCCAGGCUAUCCGUGUGCUUACCUUCGCUCUUUUGUAUUCAAAAUAUUGUGAUUCUCUUUCUCUCUACCUGGAAAUUAUUGUUUACACAACAGAGAAGAGAGGAGACUUGUGUAUAUGUACCUAUUAAAUUUGGCAGAUAACUGGUAGAAUGGCUAAAAGAGAACAUGACAGAAGUAAAGAUGCCCUUGAAGAGUCCUGGAAUGAGGAUUCAGCCAGUAAUUGAAAAAACCUUCCCUUUUUCCAAAGUUCCCGAAGCCUUCCUGAAGGUAGAAAGAGGACACGCACGAGGAAAGACUGUAAUUACUGUCGUUUAAAUAAAUCCUCAGUUUGGUGA